rnacentral:lncRNA from 1 species
CACGAACUUCAAAGGUUGGACUGAGACGACUACUAGCUAAUAUCGGAGACAAAUUCACAUCUAUCCAUUUAUUAGUAAAGCUUGGGAAAUGUUCGUCUGAAAUUGCGUAAUGCGCAACAUUGAAAUUACGAUAAACAAUCAAUAGUGGCUCGAAUCAAAUCUAGACAACGUUCGUCGUGGCAGCUUUAUUUGGCAAAGAUGAAGGCGAAUUCCGACAAACCGGACAAGAGUUAUGCAACUUGAGCCACGGGUCGAUGCAUUCGGUGUGGAAGCAAUGUUCACAUUCGGGACGAGAGGGUUACCAGAAUCAACGUAUGUGAAGCAUUUGACUUUGAGGAUGGUAUUGUUUAUGAAGCUACAUAACGGACUAAAAUCAACACAACCUGUGCAAUCCGGUGAGUCCCAUUUCAGCCAGAGGUCUUGUUUGUUGAGAUCACCUGCGAGUGGUGAAGAGACCGGAAGAAGUAGUGUCUUCAAGGUUUGACAAGAGGACGGCAUUGAACCGGUGAGAUCUGAAGGUGUGGAAUUAGUAAGGCAAUGGAUGGGUUCCAAAGAAGAGGAUUUGACGUUUUCGUUAUGACAGCUCAAGAAAGUGUAGUUGACAAGGUGAAGAGGAGAAAAAGGAGACAUUGAAGCGUCGAAGCUGAGAAGCCGUCUGGCUAAGCAGUUAUCGGGGUCUCUAAGGUGAAUACGCUGCGACUUUAUGUCUUGGACGAGAAAUCGUCUGGAAUUUGGAAGCUUUAAGGCUGUCUCACAAUGGAGGUUGAAUCCUGGGUAGUCACAUGACGAAGAUUGCUCAGGAGAUAGCCAGAAAGGGAAGCUAACGUCAAGGUUGUUUCCUCCACAUGAAGAACUGUAGCAACGUUUUGGUUUUGAGGCAUUUAGGAGAGGAAAGUAGAAGAAGAAGAAGAAAUAGAGAAGAAGAGGGAAUUGUUUUGAGAAAGUCAUAUUGUGGUAAGGCACUAAGGGAAUUGGAAUUUACAUACUUAUAGACAAUGGAAAAAGUCAUAGAACAGUAAAGCUUAUGUUUAUCUUUAUUUUACUGAAGAGGAGAAGGAUUUGUAUACCAGAAAUACUGACUAUGAGACAAUGCACUGUGAAAGAAUCAGAGAAGCUGCUGGGAGAUUCUGAUGGAAACAAUGUCACCGUCUGUUCCUGCUUUCAUUGUGUGGUACUUCACAAGGAUUCCUGCAAUUCAAAUAUCAACUGCAUGGGGUGCAAUAACUGCUUUAGGUUGGGAAUCAUCUGCCUCUCCGGUCCAAGACUUGAGGUUGAGAAUACCUAGACAGAUUUCAUGUGGAAAUGUAUGAGAGACAAAGGAGUAUGAUUCAAAGAGGAGUAAAGGAACAUAAAAGUAAGUAAUGAAGUUACCUGAGGAUGAAGAUUUUUUAAGGUGUUUG